GCGACAUGCCCCGCGGACCGGAAUGCGUCGCCGCCUACCGUGCGGCGCUGGACCUGGUGCUCGCGGAGUUCGAUCGGCUCGGUGCCGAUCGCAUCGUUCC
rnacentral:tRNA from 1 species